CUCAUGAUGAACGCUAGCUACAGGCUUAACACAUGCAAGUCGAGGGGCAGCAUGGUCUUAGCUUGCUAAGGCCGAUGGCGACCGGCGCACGGGUGAGUAACACGUAUCCAACCUGCCGUCUACUCUUGGACAGCCUUCUGAAAGGAAGAUUAAUACAAGAUGGCAUCAUGAGUCCGCAUGUUCACAUGAUUAAAGGUAUUCCGGUAGACGAUGGGGAUGCGUUCCAUUAGAUAGUAGGCGGGGUAACGGCCCACCUAGUCUUCGAUGGAUAGGGGUUCUGAGAGGAAGGUCCCCCACAUUGGAACUGAGACACGGUCCAAACUCCUACGGGAGGCAGCAGUGAGGAAUAUUGGUCAAUGGGCGAGAGCCUGAACCAGCCAAGUAGCGUGAAGGAUGACUGCCCUAUGGGUUGUAAACUUCUUUUAUAAAGGAAUAAAGUCGGGUAUGGAUACCCGUUUGCAUGUACUUUAUGAAUAAGGAUCGGCUAACUCCGUGCCAGCAGCCGCGGUAAUACGGAGGAUCCGAGCGUUAUCCGGAUUUAUUGGGUUUAAAGGGAGCGUAGAUGGAUGUUUAAGUCAGUUGUGAAAGUUUGCGGCUCAACCGUAAAAUUGCAGUUGAUACUGGAUAUCUUGAGUGCAGUUGAGGCAGGCGGAAUUCGUGGUGUAGCGGUGAAAUGCUUAGAUAUCACGAAGAACUCCGAUUGCGAAGGCAGCCUGCUAAGCUGCAACUGACAUUGAGGCUCGAAAGUGUGGGUAUCAAACAGGAUUAGAUACCCUGGUAGUCCACACGGUAAACGAUGAAUACUCGCUGUUUGCGAUAUACUGCAAGCGGCCAAGCGAAAGCGUUAAGUAUUCCACCUGGGGAGUACGCCGGCAACGGUGAAACUCAAAGGAAUUGACGGGGGCCCGCACAAGCGGAGGAACAUGUGGUUUAAUUCGAUGAUACGCGAGGAACCUUACCCGGGCUUAAAUUGCAGAUGAAUUACGGUGAAAGCCGUAAGCCGCAAGGCAUCUGUGAAGGUGCUGCAUGGUUGUCGUCAGCUCGUGCCGUGAGGUGUCGGCUUAAGUGCCAUAACGAGCGCAACCCUUGUUGUCAGUUACUAACAGGUUCCGCUGAGGACUCUGACAAGACUGCCAUCGUAAGAUGUGAGGAAGGUGGGGAUGACGUCAAAUCAGCACGGCCCUUACGUCCGGGGCUACACACGUGUUACAAUGGGGGGUACAGAGGGCCGCUACCACGCGAGUGGAUGCCAAUCCCCAAAACCUCUCUCAGUUCGGACUGGAGUCUGCAACCCGACUCCACGAAGCUGGAUUCGCUAGUAAUCGCGCAUCAGCCACGGCGCGGUGAAUACGUUCCCGGGCCUUGUACACACCGCCCGUCAAGCCAUGGGAGCCGGGGGUACCUGAAGUGCGUAACCGCGAGGAG
rnacentral:rRNA from 1 species